rnacentral:rRNA from 1 species
AGCAUAUCAAUAAGCGGAGGAAAAGAAACCAACAGGGAUUGCCCUAGUAACGGCGAGUGAAGCGGCAACAGCUCAAAUUUGAAAUCUGGCCUCGGCCCGAGUUGUAAUUUGUAGAGGAAGCUUUAGGCGCGGCACCUUCUGAGUCUCCCUGGAACGGGGCGCCAUAGAGGGUGAGAGCCCCGUAUAGUCGGAUGCCUAGCCUGUGUAAAGCUCCUUCGACGAGUCGAGUAGUUUGGGAAUGCUGCUCAAAAUGGGAGGUAAAUUUCUUCUAAAGCUAAAUACCGGCCAGAGACCGAUAGCGCACAAGUAGAGUGAUCGAAAGAUGAAAAGCGCUUUGGAAAGAGGGUUAAAUAGCACGUGAAAUUGUUGAAAGGGAAGCGCUUGUGACCAGACUUGCGCCGGGCUGAUCAUCCGGUGUUCUCACCGGUGCACUCUGCCCGGCUCAGGCCAGCAUCGGUUCUCGCGGGGGGACAAAGGCCCUGGGAACGUAGCUCCUCCGGGAGUGUUAUAGCCCAGGGCGCAAUGCCCUCGCGGGGACCGAGGUUCGCGCUCUGCAAGGAUGCUGGCGUAAUGGUCAUCAGCGACCCGUCUUGAAACACGGACCA